GACGAACGCUGGCGGCGUGCUUAACACAUGCAAUUCGAACGAAGUGGCGAACGGGUGAGUAACGCGUAAUCAACCUGCCCUUCAGAGGGGGACAACAGUUGGAAACGACUGCUAAUACCGCAUACUGAAGGAGGGGAUUGCGUCUGAUUAGCUAGUUGGCGGGGUAACGGCCCACCAGGGCGAUGAUCAGUAGCCGGUCUGAGAGGAUGAACGGCCACAUUGGGACGGAGACACGGCCCAGACUCAUACUGGAGGCAGCAGUGGGGAAGCUUCCGCAAGUGACGAAAGUCUGACGGAGCAACGACGCGUGAGUGAUGACGGCCUUCGGGUUGUAAAGCUCUGUUAAUCGGGACGCGGUACCGGAAUAGAAAGCCACGGCUAACUACGUGCCAGCCGCCGCGGUAAUAC
rnacentral:rRNA from 1 species